CUCGCCUUGCCGUGCAUUUCUCCCCGCCAUGGACUGCUGUGAGCUGCUCACCCCUGCGGAGGAGCCUGCAUGGAACUGCGACGCGAGCUUUCCCGCUCAUCCCCAUAGUGGUGGAGCAGACGGUACGGUGACCUGAUGGGGACAUGGCGCGGAGGCUUGUAGUCGGUCGGCGUGCAAGGGAGGAUGACCUUUCACAUCUUCUUUUCCCACGAAGGGUCGAGGCGAGCGCGCUUAUGACAUAUACUCGAGGCUGUUGCGGGAACGCAUCGUGUGCGUCAUGGGCCCGGUGAGCGACCCCGGUCCUUCCCGGGCACACCUUGUUGUCUCACCAACAUUUAUCCUUUGUCAAGCUCUGUGUCAUAUAACCCCCUCUUCCCCCUCAUCCUUGGUGACCUCCUAGACCCUAGGCCCUAGACCCUGACCUUAAACAUUCU
rnacentral:lncRNA from 1 species